rnacentral:sRNA from 1 species
ACAUGCUUAUUCCUCUGGACUUGGAGUGUAUACCAUUCAAAGGUGUGCAGCGGGUCUCUGUUCACAUGGCUCAACUGGAAACCUGUUUCAUGAACAAGCUUAGUCAGGAACCAUCUGGUGGUAUUCCAGCACAUUGUUCUUCAGGGGGACGACUCUAAGUCGCUUUGUGGUGGCAGCAGCUUAGAAUCAGUAUUUGUGGUUGGGAAAGAUGGACUUACAGGAGCUUGGUAAUGCAGGAGGUGCUUGAACUCGCUUUCUCCAUCUUGUAUGACUCAAACUGCCAACUGAACUUCAUCGCUCCUGACAAGCAUGAGUACUGUAUCUGGACGGAUGGACUGAAUGCGCUCCUCGGGAAGGACAUGAUGAGCGACCUGACGCGGAAUGACCUGGACACCCUGCUCAGCAUGGAAAUCAAGCUCCGCCUCCUGGACCUGGAAAACAUCCAGAUCCCUGACGCACCUCCGCCGAUUCCCAAGGAGCCCAGCAACUAUGACUUCGUCUAUGACUGUAACUGAAGUGGCCGGGCCCAGACAUGCCCCUUCCAAAACUGGAACACCUAGCUAACAGG